rnacentral:tRNA from 1 species
CAGGGAGACAAAACUGAUUUUGAUGUCUAAAUGUUUUAAUUUUAGUCCAAAAUCCUGUCACCUUAGGUCGAUCGGUACCUCAGUUCGAUAACAAACAAAUUAAGAAAUUAGUUUUUAAGUCUCGAAUUCAGUUCCUAAACUUUGUCUAGGUCACACCCAACAAGGGUACUCCUGGGCCAUUAGCUCAGGUGGUUAGAGCGCACCCCUGAUAAGGGUGAGGUCCCUGGUUCAAGUCCAGGAUGGCCCAUUCGGUGUUGGGGGUAUAGCUCAGUUGGUAGAGCGCCUGCUUUGCAAGCAGGAUGUCAGCGGUUCGAGUCCGCUUACCUCCACUGAUCGAUCUCCUGAACACCAAAGCCUAAGGAGUUUCUCUUCAAUGUGAUCUAGAAUUUGUUCUUAAUGAAUGAACCUAGCUUCUUGUCAUUCCUAAAAAAAUGUUUUUUAGGUUGCUAAGACGCUGGGCUCUCUGCAAUGUCAAAUUGCAGAAAUGUUCAGUAGAACCUUGACAACUGCAUAGGUGAGUCUGGAAAGAAUAAAGCAUCUCAUGGAUGCAUUAUUUCUGUUCUGGAAUUAAGUUUCUUUUUCUAGAAACAUGUUUAAUUUUAGAUCAGGUAAUGAUGUUUAAUUCUUGAGCAAGAGUCGAGACUCUAUAGCGUUCUUUCAUUGUAUUAAAUACAUUGAGAGUCAGAUUUUUCAAUUUGAUUAAAUCAAUUAUUAUUUGGAUCUUUUCUUAAUAGUAAUUAUUUUCAGUCAAAUUAAAAAGAAAAGUGUUAACAACACAAUAACGUUUUAGAGAUUUAUAU